rnacentral:rRNA from 1 species
GUGGGGAAUAUUGGACAAUGGGCGCAAGCCUGAUCCAGCAAUGCCGCGUGUGUGAAGAAGGCCUUCGGGUUGUAAAGCACUUUUAUCAGGAGCGAAAUCUGCAGGGCUAAUACCCAUGCAGUCUGACGGUACCUGAGGAAUAAGCACCGGCUAACUCCGUGCCAGCAGCCGCGGUAAUACGGAGGGUGCAAGCGUUAAUCGGAAUUACUGGGCGUAAAGCGUGCGUAGGCGGUUCGUUAAGUCUGUUGUGAAAGCCCCGGGCUCAACCUGGGAAUGGCAAUGGAUACUGGCGAGCUAGAGUGUGUCAGAGGAUGGUGGAAUUCCCGGUGUAGCGGUGAAAUGCGUAGAGAUCGGGAGGAACAUCAGUGGCGAAGGCGGCCAUCUGGGACAACACUGACGCUGAGGCACGAAAGCGUGGGGAGCAAACAGGAUUAGAUACCCUUGUAGUCC